rnacentral:rRNA from 1 species
GACGAACGCUGGCGGCGUGCUUAACACAUGCAAGUCGAACGGAAAGGCCCUUCGGGGUACUCGAGUGGCGAACGGGUGAGUAACACGUGGGUGAUCUGCCCUGCACUUUGGGAUAAGCCUGGGAAACUGGGUCUAAUACCGAAUAGGACCACGCGCUUCAUGGUGUGUGGUGGAAAGCUUUUGCGGUGUGGGAUGGGCCCGCGGCCUAUCAGCUUGUUGGUGGGGUAAUGGCCUACCAAGGCGACGACGGGUAGCCGGCCUGAGAGGGUGACCGGCCACACUGGGACUGAGAUACGGCCCAGACUCCUACGGGAGGCAGCAGUGGGGAAUAUUGCACAAUGGGCGCAAGCCUGAUGCAGCGACGCCGCGUGAGGGAUGACGGCCUUCGGGUUGUAAACCUCUUUCAAUAGGGAUGAAGCGCAAGUGACGGUACCUAUAGAAGAAGCACCGGCCAACUACGUG